AUUGAACGCUGGCGGCAGGCCUAACACAUGCAAGUCGAGCGGAUGAAGGGAGCUUGCUCCUGGAUUCAGCGGCGGACGGGUGAGUAAUGCCUAGGAAUCUGCCUGGUAGUGGGGGAUAACGUCCGGACACGGGCGCUAAUACCGCAUAAGUCCUGAGGGAGAAAGUGGGGGAUCUUCGGACCUCACGCUAUCAGAUGAGCCUAGGUCGGAUUAGCUAGUUGGUGGGGUAAAGGCCUACCAAGGCGACGAUCCGUAACUGGUCUGAGAGGAUGAUCAGUCACACUGGAACUGAGACACGGUCCAGACUCCUACGGGAGGCAGCAGUGGGGAAUAUUGGACAAUGGGCGAAAGCCUGAUCCAGCCAUGCCGCGUGUGUGAAGAAGGUCUUCGGAUUGUAAAGCACUUUAAGUUGGGAGGAAGGGCAGUAAGUUAAUACCUUGCUGUUUUGACGUUACCAACAGAAUAAGCACCGGCUAACUUCGUG
rnacentral:rRNA from 1 species